AAUCAUGCACGCAAAACGGACUACAAUGAAGAAUGCACUCUUUCAGUUCAAGAUACUUCGGUUAGAUCAAGCACAAUGUUGCAUAAACAGCUGCACUCUUAAGGCCCACACAGACCGGACGCGACUUGGCAACGCGACGCGAAUUUUCAAUUUUCAAUGACAUUUAACUUUAAUAUUUUUCUAUGUUUUUCAAAUAUUCGGAACCACUUAAGCAAUUUUAGCUAUUUUGUCUGCAU